AAAAACACAAAUCAAGAAAUCACUUUAAUUUGUUACUUUUUAUAAAAGAAAAAUGGCUAAAGUUUUUUACCUGUUAGAUGCUGAUCACUUUAAUCUGUUUUGAUUCCGGUGCCGGUAGCAAACCCAUAUGAGAAAGGAAGGAAAGGUAUGAGCUUUUUACCUUAUCUGUAUUUUAACCUAACUUUGAAUGAAAAAGAAAAAAUAAAAAUUAAUUUUAAUUUAAAAUAAGGAUGUUUUAGUAAUUUAAUAUA
rnacentral:lncRNA from 1 species